UGAACUGCAACUCAGUAAAAUCGUUGAAAUGGUUGUAUGUUGCGUUUAUAUUUUUGUUCAGUAUAUAAUCCACUAGAAAGAUGUUAAUAGGUUGUGUGUUUGACUGUAUUCUAGUGCACCAUCCCCUGUCUUUCUUUCUCCCAGUUCCACCUGGUCAGUGGUGGGACACAUUGAGGACAGAUGGUCCUCCAGGCCUCUUCCAGGGAAUGACCAGCACCUGGCUCUGAGAGGUGCCUGGGUGUAUGGGAUCUGCAGAACCCUGGCCAGUCCAAUGUUGGCUUGGACGCUGUCCCACUCUUAAUCAGUGGGGGAGUUGGGGGGGAGCGGCUUUUGGUUGGCAGUGUCAAAUACAGAAUCCAGGUUCACUCCAUGUCAGGCAAGCAGGCUGGGUUUCUCAGAACACUGCUCGGUAUCAUAAGGACAGACGGUGACAACAUUUUCCUCCACAUUAUUUUUAAUAAUCUGAUUGUACAGUUUAUCCAAGGUCUUCUAAACUAGGUGCAUUCUGUGAAUCUCAAAUGUAGUGUUAAUCAGUAAACUUCUGAUUGAUUUAUCGCCCAAUCAUUCCUUUCAUGUUGGCAGCUUUGUUUUCCAGAUAACAGAAAUUAAUUAACUCAUUAUCUACAGAAGAUUAGGAUUGCCCCCACAUUUAAUGCGAUACGGUUUAGCAGUAUGAGCUAUUUAGUUUGUGAUAGUGAUAGCUUUGUCCGUCACAGCUUUCUAGUUUGAGCCCCUUUAGAUUUCACAUGUAUGGGAUUUUAUGUAUGCAUGAUGUGCUUGAUGGUGUAUUGCCUCUGUUCCAGGUGUCCCUGCUUUGUAUUCUGGCCUAACCCCCACUUCCCCUCCAACGGAGCUCUAUUCCUGGCUUAUGAGUGGACGAGAAGAGCCCCCCUCUACCACACAUCUGCAUCCUGAGUUAGUUUGUAGAUUUUGUUGUUUGUUGAUGGGGCAGAAGAGGUUUGAAAAUUCAAAUUCCCCAAAAAUGCAUUAACAUCUACAAAGCUCUAAAACUACAUUGUUCAUUUGUGUUAACCUCUGAUCUUGUUUUGACCAUGUUUUCUAUGUCUGGGGUGUAUUCACUAAGAACCCAGUCGAACCAAAUGUAAUGAAACGGGGAGGGACCUACCUGAAUUUGUCCAAUAGAAACACUUUUUAUUUUGCAAAAUGUUUUUUGGUUUGGAGCAAACGGUUACCGUUGCAAAACAUUUUGCUAUGGUCUUCGUCUAAUGAAUACACCCCUGGUCAAUAGGUCUAAUGUCUAGACACUGAACUUAAUGAGUCAGUACACAAUCAAAGGACUCUAUGCACUACAACAACUCCAACAUUCCAGCCACUGGUCCGAGACCAGCAUUACACAAUUUCACACAGGAUCUGUUGUGUUGUCAACUAGUUUAAAAAAAUGAUCCUUCUAUUUACGGUAUAUGUGUAAAUAAAAGCUUUACGUAUUACAUUAUAUAGCUACAGCACAGCUCAACACUGUUAUAUUUUGUGUUAUGUUUAUUAUUUUUUCUACAUUAAAUAUAUGUUACAUAC